AUUAUUAAAUAUUAUUUCACGAAGGGAGUCGAGCUACUUAAUAAAGCACAAUAGUGUUAAAAUUACAUGUUGCAUCAUGUAAGGCAUAUUAUUAGUUAGGGGUGAUAGGCUUCACAAGACCCCCAAUAUCUUGAUUUUUAGGAAACAUAUUAAGUAUUUAAUCAACUUAGAAGUGCCAAGGUUUCUAAGAUUUAUUAAAUCAAUAUUUUAGCUUAGUAGUCUAUCUAACGAUAUUUAUUUAUGUUUUAAUAACAUUGAGUAUUGAAAGUUUAUAUAUAUUACUAGAAUAUGCUUUAUAGUGGCUAAAGCAUUAUUACUGUUGAUAUUAGUAUUACUAAUAAUAACCCUCCUAGGAACUCGGCAAGAGGCCUCUCAACUGUUUAUCAAAAACAUAGCUAGGCGUAUUUACUGUUUAGUGAUUUCUGCUCAAUGGUAAGACUAAAUAGCCGCAGUACCUUGACUGUGCAAAGGUAGCAUAAUCAUUUGGCUUAUAAUUGAAGUCUGGCAUGAAGGAAUACAUGGGUGGCAACUGUCUUUUAGGGUUGACUAGAACUUACUUAGCAAGUGAAAAUUCUUGUAGUUAAAUAAUAGACGAGAAGACCCUAGAAAUUUUAUAUAAAAUAAUAUAGUGUUAGUAUUAUUUUGUUGGGGCGACAGAAUAACAAGAAACUUAUUUUAUAAAGUUUGAACUAACUGGUGAGAUAAAGUAAAUUACUCUAGGGAUAACAGCAUAAUCUAUAAGAGUUUGUGACCUCGAUGUUGGACUAGGAAUUUUAUUGUUUAGAAGACACUAAAAUAGGCUCUGUUCGAGCUAUUAUCCCUACAUGAUCUGAGUUCAGACCGGC
rnacentral:rRNA from 1 species